rnacentral:rRNA from 1 species
UAAAGGUUUGGUCCUAGCCUUAUUAUCAAUUAUCUCCCAACUUACACAUGCAAGUCUCAGCACCCCCGUGAGGAAGCCCUUAAACCCUACCCCAGGGUAAGGAGCCGGUAUCAGGCACUACUUUUGCCCAUAACACCUAGUUUCCACCACACCCCCAAGGGUCAUCAGCAGUGAUAAACAUUAUCUAUAAGCGAUAGCUUGACUUAGUUAGAGAGAAGAUAGUUGGCUAAUUCGGUGCCAGCCGCCGCGGUUAGACCCCCUGAACUAAAAUUGAUAAUCAUCGGCGUUAAGCGUGAUUAAAGCAAUAUAUAAUUAGAGUUAAACUCCCUGCCCAGCCGUGAAAAGCAUGCACUCCGGAACUCCAUGAACGAAAGUCACUCUACUCAAUGCUUGAAUACACGAUAGCUA